ACUGAAGCUGUGUAAUGCGAUCAUUUCAUCCAGAAGGAAUAGGAACUGAGGACUACGUUUAGGGUCAAGGAUGAAGAGAAGGCAUCAGCAGAAUCAGAGAAGGCUCUUCUGAUUUCUCGGUAGAGCAGUGAAAAUAAACUGGAGUGACUCAGCUGGUGUGAGAAGCUGGAGCCAAUUGGGAUACUCCUGAGCAAAGCCCCAUGGGUGAGAGGGAGCACAGAGGAUCAACCCACCAAUAGUGUCCCCACAAGCCAUGAAGAUGCUCCUGUUUGCAAAGAGAAUCAGGGAGUGAAGCAAAAGGUGUGAGAUAAGCACAAGAAAAGAAAUCGUCUCUAUCUGGAUGGGACACGGACUUGGAGAACCCGUGUGUACAGACCUCUAAAUUCCCCAGGUUUAUGCAGCAAAUGAAGGAUGAUGAAUGGAUGAUAAACCAGUUCACCAAUGAAUCUGUGUUCAUCGCAGAUUUUUGGAUUAAUGCCAGGGAAGGGACAAGCAGACAGGAAGUCUGGUAACUCAGGUUUUAAGGGAAUUAAAGAACUUUAAGAGAGAGCCAAAUCGACUUAAGAUAUUUCUUGUAAGACUUAGCUGUCUAUAGUUAAAACUUAGAGCUUAGUUUGUUUGAGGACACAGAGUCAGAGGGAUACUGCCUUAUGUCCACAAAGACACAAAAUUUGGCAUUUAGACAUGCUAUACCCUAUCAGCCAGGAAAAUGCCUGGCCCAUACGGAUAUGUGAUCAAUUUUGAAUAA